rnacentral:rRNA from 1 species
AGUGAACGCUGGCGGUAGGCCUAACACAUGCAAGUCGAACGGCAGCACAGUAAGAGCUUGCUCUUACGGGUGGCGAGUGGCGGACGGGUGAGGAGUACAUCGGAAUCUACUUUUUCGUGGGGGAUAACGUAGGGAAACUUACGCUAAUACCGCAUACGACCUACGGGUGAAAGCAGGGGAUCUUCGGACCUUGCGCGAUUGAAUGAGCCGAUGUCGGAUUAGCUAGUUGGCGGGGUAAAGGCCCACCAAGGCGACGAUCCGUAGCUGGUCUGAGAGGAUGAUCAGCCACACUGGAACUGAGACACGGUCCAGACUCCUACGGGAGGCAGCAGUGGGGAAUAUUGGACAAUGGGCGCAAGCCUGAUCCAGCCAUACCGCGUGGGUGAAGAAGGCCUUCGGGUUGUAAAGCCCUUUUGUUGGGAAAGAAAAGCAGCAGGUUAAUACCCCGCUGUUCUGACGGUACCCAAAGAAUAAGCACCGGCUAACUUCGUGC